CCCGGUUAAGGCGGUCUGGAUGAUCUUGUUCGAGUAUUUUGUUCCUAUGAAUCUGCCCGCGCAGGUACGUAUCGCCCUGGCGUGCUGCUUGAACAUGUGUGGUGCGGUUCAUGCAUCCGAUAUCGCCAUCCUUGGUAUCCACCGUAAACCGCCGAUGAUCGAUAACGAUCGUAUUACCGGCGUCUGCGAAAUUCCUCUGGCCUUCGCCUCCUGUCCGCUCGGUGCAGUCAACCCCCCCAAGGGUACCAAUUCUGCUGGUGAGGAAUUGAAUUCGGUCAGGGUUAUUGCCGACCGCUGUAUUGUUCANGGGUAUGCUA
rnacentral:rRNA from 1 species